rnacentral:tRNA from 1 species
GCCGGCGUAGCUCAGUGGCAGAGCAGAUUCUUCAUAAGAAUAAGGUCACAGGUUCGAAUCCUGUCGCCGGCACUA